AAUACGCGGAAAACGAUGGGGACGAGUCCCCAAUGUGGUGCCGAGGGUGGCAAGCCACAGCAAACCUACAAUGAGUAGAAAGCUGAAAAAUCACGUGUCGGGCAAUAGGGUUUGGUAGGCUGGCAACAGUUCGAAGAAGUCUGGCCCG
ncrna:unclassified sequences RT-3 RNA